AUUGAACGCUGGCGGCAUGCCUUACACAUGCAAGUCGAACGGCAGCACGGGUGCUUGCCCCUGGUGGCGAGUGGCGAACGGGUGAGUAAUACAUCGGAACAUGUCCUGUAGUGGGGGAUAGCCCGGCGAAAGCCGGAUUAAUACCGCAUACGAUCUACGGAUGAAAGCGGGGGACCUUCGGGCCUCGCGCUAUAGGGUUGGCCGAUGGCUGAUUAGCUAGUUGGUGGGGUAAAGGCCUACCAAGGCGACGAUCAGUAGCUGGUCUGAGAGGACGACCAGCCACACUGGGACUGAGACACGGCCCAGACUCCUACGGGAGGCAGCAGUGGGGAAUUUUGGACAAUGGGCGAAAGCCUGAUCCAGCAAUGCCGCGUGUGAAGAAGGCCUUCGGGUUGUAAAGCACUUUUGUCCGGAAAGAAAUCCUUGGCCCUAAUACGGUCGGGGGAUGACGGUACCGGAAGAAUAAGCACCGGCUAACUACGUG
rnacentral:rRNA from 1 species